UCGAGGAUCUUCGGCAAUGGGGGCAACCCUGACCGAGCGAUGCCGCGUGCGCGAUGAAGGCCUUCGGGUUGUAAAGCGCGAAAGAGGGGAGAAAAGCCCGAAAGGGUUUGAUCUAUCCUCAGUAAGCUCGGGCUAAGUUCGUGCCAGCAGCCGCGGUAAGACGAACCGAGCGAACGUUGUUCGGAAUCACUGGGCUUAAAGGGCGCGUAGGCGGGCUGUCAAGUCUGGGGUGAAAUCCCGCGGCUCAACCGCGGAACUGCCUCAGAUACUGACGGCCUCGAGGGAGGUAGGGGCGAGCGGAACUAAUGGUGGAGCGGUGAAAUGCGUUGAUAUCAUUAGGAACUCCGGUGGCGAAGGCGGCUCGCUGGACCUUUUCUGACGCUGAGGCGCGAAAGCUAGGGGAGCAAACGGGAUUAGAUACCCCGGUAGUCCUAGCCCUAAACGUUGGGUACUAGGUAGUAGACUAGACAUGGGUUUACUGCCGAAGCAAAAGUGCUAAGUACCCCGCCUGGGGAGUAUGGUCG
rnacentral:rRNA from 1 species